rnacentral:rRNA from 1 species
UGGNUUAACUGGGGGCUUGCGGUGGGUACGGGCCGGCUUGAGUGCGGUAGGGGAGACUGGAGCUCCUGGUGUAGCGGUGGAAUGCGCAGAUAUCAGGAAGAACACCGGUGGCGAAGGCGGGUCUCUGGGCCGUUACUGACGCUGAGGAGCGAAAGCGUGGGGAGCGAACAGGAUUAGAUACCCUGGUAGUNCACGCCGUAAACGUUGGGCACUAGGUGUGGGGGGCCUUUUCCGGGUCUUCCGCGCCGUAGCUAACGCAUUAAGUGCCCCGCCUGGGGAGUACGGCCGCAAGGCUAAAACUCAAAGGAAUUGACGGGGGCCCGCACAAGCGGCGGAGCAUGCGGAUUAAUUCGAUGCAACGCGAAGAACCUUACCAAGGCUUGACAUGUGCCGGUCGGCUCCGGAGACGGGGUUUCCUCCUUGUGGGGCCGGUUCACAGGUGGUGCAUGGUUGUCGUCAGCUCGUGUCGUGAGAUGUUGGGUUAAGUCCCGCAACGAGCGCAACCCUUGUCCCGUGUUGCUAGCACGUUGUGGUGGGGACUCGCGGGAGACUGCCGGGGUCAACUCGGAGGAAGGUGGGGAAGACGUCAAAUCAUCAUGCCCCUUAUGUCUUGGGCUUCACGCAUGCUACAAUGGCCGGUACAGAGGGCUGCGAUACCGUGAGGUGGAGCGAAUCCCUUAAAGCCGGUCUCAGUUCGGAUCGGUGUCUGCAACUCGACACCGUGAAGUUGGAGUCGCUAGUAAUCGCAGAUCAGCAACGCUGCGGUGAAUACGUUCUCGGGCCUUGUACACACCGCCCGUCACGUCAUGAAAGUCGGCAACACCCGAAGCCCGUGGCCC